rnacentral:rRNA from 1 species
UACGUAGGGGGCGAGCGUUGUCCGAAGUUACUGGGCGUAAAGAGCGCGUAGGCGGGUCUUUAAGUGAGGGGUGAAAGGUUCGGGCUCAACCCGGACACUGCCUUUCAUACUGGAGACCUUGAGUGCGGGAGGGGCGAGUGGAAUGGUCGGUGUAGCGGUGAAAUGCGUAGAUAUCGAUCGGAACACCCAUGGCGAAGGCAGCUCGCUGGCCUGCAACUGACGUUGAGGCGCGAAAGCUAGGGGAGCGAACGGG